rnacentral:rRNA from 1 species
GACAGAGGGUGCGAACGUUGUUCGGAAUUACUGGGCGUAAAGCGCGUGUAGGCGGCAGCGCAAGUCGGGUGUGAAAGCCCCGGGCUCAACCUGGGAAUUGCAUUCGAGACUGAAUAGCUAGGGUACGGUAGAGGGAAGCGGAAUUUCCGGUGUAGCGGUGAAAUGCGUAGAUAUCGGAAGGAACAUCAGUGGCGAAAGCGGCUUCCUGGACCAGUACCGACGUUCAGGCACGAAAGCGUGGGGAGCAAACAGG